CGUGCCAGCAGCCGCGGUAAUACGAGGGAUGCAAGCGUUAUCCGGAAUUAUUGGGCGUAAAGCGUCCGCAGGUGGCUCUGUAAGUCUGUCGUUAAAGAAUGGGGCUCAACCCCAUACAGGCGAUGGAAACUACAAGGCUAGAGUUUGGUAGGGGUCACGGGAAUUCUUAGUGUAGCGGUGAAAUGCGUAGAUAUUAAGAAGAACACCAGCGGCGAAAGCGCGUGACUGGGCCAGUACUGACACUCAUGGACGAAAGCUAGGGGAGCGAAAGGGAUUAGAUACCCCUGUAGUCCUAGCCGUAAACGAUGAUAACUAGGUGUUGCCCGUAUCGACCCGGGCAGUGCCGUAGCCAACGCGUUAAGUUAUCCGCCUGGGGAGUACGCACGCAAGUGUGAAACUCAAAGGAAUUGACGGGGGCCCGCACAAGCGGUG
rnacentral:rRNA from 1 species